rnacentral:rRNA from 1 species
UAUGAUCCAGAGUACCACGGGACACGUGAAACCCUGUGGGAAGCAGGAGGGACCACCCUCCAAGGCUAAAUACUACCUAGUGACCGAUAGCGUAUAGUACCGCGAGGGAAAGGUGAAAAGAACCCCGGGAGGGGAGUGAAAUAGAACCUGAAACCCUGCACUUACAAGCUGUGGAAGCACAUUUCUUGUGUGACCGCGUACUUUUUGUAGAACGGGCCAACGAGUUACGU